ACUUCUCAGAACGUUAUCUCCUAAUCAUGGAACCAAGUGUAUAAUCCUUGCACCCCAACGUCUCUCUCUGACAAGUAACAGGACCCAGAACAAAAUGAACCUGGCCAAGAACAACCUCCAUCUCAUUUCCAACCAAGAGGACACAGGGCAGAAGUGUCUAGUGUGUGAGCAUCCUGCCUAGUCUUCACCAGACUUCGUGGAACUUUGAGAAUUGUUCUUGCUUUCCGUUUUGUCGAUUUUAGGUUUCUUUGUUUUUGUUUUUUGUUUGUUUAUUGAUUUCUGGUUUAAAGAGGAGUUGUUUUUGGAACCAUUAAUAUUUGGUGAUAUUCAUUAAGAUCUCCAACUAAUAAUAAUCUUCUCCUCCUCUCCCCCUCCUCUUCCUCUUCCUCUUCCUCUUCCUCUUCCUCCUCCUCCUCCUCUUCUUCCUCUUCCUCCUCCUCCUCCUCCUCCUCCUCCUCCUCCUCCUUUUGUUUUCAAGUGACUUCACAGUUGAUAUGAUGGGUUGAAUAGGUAUGGCCACCACAGAUUCACGAGUUGGAAUACUUGGCCCACAGGGAGUGGCAUUAUUAGGAGGUGUGGCCUUGUGGGAGGAAGUGUGUCAUUGUGUGGGGCUUCAAGUGCUCCUAUAUAUGCUCCAACUCCGCUCAGUGUGCCACACAUUCUCUUCCUGCCGCCUGUGGACCAAGAUGCAGAUCUCUCAGCUCCUUCUCCAGCACCACGUCUGCCUGCACACCGCCAUGCCAUGAUCAUAAUGGACUCAGCCUCUGAAACCUCCAGGUGAGAGACAGUACCACCCACACCUCAGGAUGGCCAUAACGCUUUACUUUUUCACGGCGGCUAAUGGAAUUAAAACCAUACCUUCGAUAUUCUACAUUCCUUGUCACAGACACAACAAAUACUAUUUGAAACUUGGCCCAGCUGUGCUCUCAAACUCGAUGCCCGAUUUCAAUGAUUUGUCAAGGUUUACAACCAAGAAACAAAUAUAAAAGCAAACUUUGUACCUCUCCAUGUAAUGGGAAGUUUGGACCAAGUGAGCCCAACUGGAAUCCGAGGGGAACAGACUUCUGAAGUCCCGAAUCAGACAAGUAAUGCUGUGCCCCAGGGUUGAAGAAAUAGACAGAUAUUGUUUGUUUUCCUGCCCAACUUCUUUUGUCACAAAAAACGAAGUGCGUGAAGAUUGUUACCUGUGGAGGCGAUGACAUAACCCUGGAUUUGCCAGCUACUGUAAAAGAUGCCCUCUGUGUAGUUCAGCUCACCCACUUUUCAUGGCAACGUUCCUACCAUUAUCACAGGCAGCAUUAUGUCACAAGGACAAACCAAUUUCGUUCAUGUAAAUGUAAAACAUGUUUGCCAUGCGACAUUUCAAUCAAUGUGGUGACACACAAGGAAAGCCUGCCUGUCGCUUCCAGGCAGAAAGGGGAAGAGAACUGCCAUUUCACACUCAGCUUGAAUUCUUGCCCUGCCAUUUUUUUUUUGACUCACUUACUUUUGCCAAAAGACUAAUUCAUUCUACAUCUAACAGAAGUUGCCAGAAAAGAGGCAGCCAUGUCACUGACUUGAUGAGUUGGUUCUCUGUACUCAGUCGUGCAAGUAAACCAUCGGGAGCCGAGGGGUUGGGUGGAAAGGCACGGUGCAUGGGUAGACAUUAAAGUGUUUUACUACAGGUCA